rnacentral:rRNA from 1 species
UACGAAGGGGGCUAGCGUUGCUCGGAAUCACUGGGCGUAAAGCGCACGUAGGCGGAUUGUUAAGUCAGGGGUCAAAUCCUGGAGCUCAACUCCAGAACUGCCUUUGAUACUGGCGAUCUUGAGUCCGGGAGAGGUGAGUGGAACUCCGAGUGUAGAGGUGAAAUUCGUAGAUAUUCGGAAGAACACCAGUGGCGAAGGCGGCUCACUGGCCCGGUACUGACGCUGAUGUGCGAAAGCGUGGGGAGCAAACAGG